CUCUCCCCUAAUGGUUCGACUACGAUGUUCCGGUAACUUUAAACCACGCCGGGUGUUGAAAAGGUGGCCAGUUUCAGAUGCAUUGAUGUGUAAUGAUGCAGUGGACAACUGUGAGGAUGAUACAAUCAACAUGUUCCUAAACUGUGAUGCAGAAACACAAUGGGAGGAUCCAUCCGUCUCUGACCACAACUACACUUUAAAAUCACAACUCAACCUGAAGUAACCUACAUCUGAUAUGGGAAAACAAUGGUGCAGUUUCCCUGACAGGGCUUAUCCUGGUCCCAGGCUAAAAUGCAUAUUUGAGCUACAAUAAUUUAAAAACACCUUUUACUGACAUACCUCAACAUAUAUAAGUGCCAUUGUUUUGUCACAAGAUGCGCACCAGUCUUGUUUUUUUGUAAGGUUUGUUUGUAAAAACUAAAAUGUCCUAAUAUAAUUAAAUCCUAGUCCUGUAAACCCUGUCGAGAAACUGCUCCAAUGUGUUGAGCUGGCACAAAUGUACAUAUCUCUGCUGAGAAACAACCAUCUUUGGUUCAGCAUUACAGAGGGUUGAUAUUGCAUUCAUUACACAGUCGCCAAGCACUUUACCAGUACAUACACCAACAGCUUCCAGAUAAACACUUGGGAUCAGCUCCUGAUGACUCCGAUAAAGCUGUGUCUUAAUUUAUUGCAGGGUGGUUUUGCUUUUCCUGUUGUAAAGUUACAUUAAACCUUCAUAUGUGAUCAGAUGUCAUGCAGUGAUAUUAAACAUUUACAGUGUGAUCAGAUGUUGUGCAUUUAUAUUAAACCUUUACAAUGUGAUCAGAUGUUGUGCAAUUACAUUAAACCUUUACAAUGUGA